GAUGAACGCUGGCGGCGUGCCUAAUACAUGCAAGUCGAGCGAACGGACGAGAAGCUUGCUUUUCUGAUGUUAGCGGCGGACGGGUGAGUAACACGUGGAUAACCUACCUAUAAGACUGGGAUAACUUCGGGAAACCGGAGCUAAUACCGGAUAAUAUUUUGAACCGCAUGGUUCAAAAGUGAAAGACGGUCUUGCUGUCACUUAUAGAUGGAUCCGCGCUGCAUUAGCUAGUUGGUAAGGUAACGGCUUACCAAGGCAACGAUGCAUAGCCGACCUGAGAGGGUGAUCGGCCACACUGGAACUGAGACACGGUCCAGACUCCUACGGGAGGCAGCAGUAGGGAAUCUUCCGCAAUGGGCGAAAGCCUGACGGAGCAACGCCGCGUGAGUGAUGAAGGUCUUCGGAUCGUAAGACUCUGUUAUUAGGGAAGAACAUAUGUGUAAGUAACUGUGCACAUCUUGACGGUACCUAAUCAGAAAGCCACGGCUAACUACGUGCCAGCAGCCGCGGUAAUACGUAGGUGGCAAGCGUUAUCCGGAAUUAUUGGGCGUAAAGCGCGCGUAGGCGGUUUUUUAAGUCUGAUGUGAAAGCCCACGGCUCAACCGUGGAGGGUCAUUGGAAACUGGAAAACUUGAGUGCAGAAGAGGAAAGUGGAAUUCCAUGUGUAGCGGUGAAAUGCGCAGAGAUAUGGAGGAACACCAGUGGCGAAGGCGACUUUCUGGUCUGUAACUGACGCUGAUGUGCGAAAGCGUGGGGAUCAAACAGGAUUAGAUACCCUGGUAGUCCACGCCGUAAACGAUGAGUGCUAAGUGUUAGGGGGUUUCCGCCCCUUAGUGCUGCAGCUAACGCAUUAAGCACUCCGCCUGGGGAGUACGACCGCAAGGUUGAAACUCAAAGGAAUUGACGGGGACCCGCACAAGCGGUGGAGCAUGUGGUUUAAUUCGAAGCAACGCGAAGAACCUUACCAAAUCUUGACAUCCUUUGACAACUCUAGAGAUAGAGCCUUCCCCUUCGGGGGACAAAGUGACAGGUGGUGCAUGGUUGUCGUCAGCUCGUGUCGUGAGAUGUUGGGUUAAGUCCCGCAACGAGCGCAACCCUUAAGCUUAGUUGCCAUCAUUAAGUUGGGCACUCUAAGUUGACUGCCGGUGACAAACCGGAGGAAGGUGGGGAUGACGUCAAAUCAUCAUGCCCCUUAUGAUUUGGGCUACACACGUGCUACAAUGGACAAUACAAAGGGCAGCGAAACCGCGAGGUCAAGCAAAUCCCAUAAAGUUGUUCUCAGUUCGGAUUGUAGUCUGCAACUCGACUACAUGAAGCUGGAAUCGCUAGUAAUCGUAGAUCAGCAUGCUACGGUGAAUACGUUCCCGGGUCU
rnacentral:rRNA from 1 species